rnacentral:misc_RNA from 1 species
GUUUCCGUAGGUGAACCUGCGGAAGGAUCAUUAUUGUAUAACCGAGGUGCGAGGGCUGUCGCUGACCCGAAAGGUCGUGCACGCCCGAGUGUGUCCUCUUGCAUAAUAAUCCAUCUCACCCUUUGUGCAUCACCGCGUGGGCACCCUUCGGGAUCAUCUCGGAGGGGGGCUCGCGUUUUCACACAAACCCCCCUUUUAAAAGUGUAGAAUGACCACAUUUAUGCAAUCAAUACAACUUUCAACAACGGAUCUCUUGGCUCUC